rnacentral:rRNA from 1 species
GGGGAAUAUUGCACAAUGGGCGCAAGCCUGAUGCAGCCAUGCCGCGUGUAUGAAGAAGGCCUUCGGGUUGUAAAGUACUUUCAGCGGGGAGGAAGGUGCUGUGGUUAAUAACCGCAGCAAUUGACGUUACCCGCAGAAGAAGCACCGGCUAACUCCGUGCCAGCAGCCGCGGUAAUACGGAGGGUGCAAGCGUUAAUCGGAAUUACUGGGCGUAAAGCGCACGCAGGCGGUCUGUUAAGUCAGAUGUGAAAUCCCCGGGCUCAACCUGGGAACUGCAUCUGAUACUGGCAGGCUUGAGUCUCGUAGAGGGGGGUAGAAUUCCAGGUGUAGCGGUGAAAUGCGUAGAGAUCUGGAGGAAUACCGGUGGCGAAGGCGGCCCCCUGGACGAAGACUGACGCUCAGGUGCGAAAGCGUGGGGAGCAAAC